rnacentral:tRNA from 1 species
GCCUCGGUAGCUCAAUUGGUAGAGCAGCGGACUCUUAAUCCGUUGGUUCCAGGUUCGAGUCCUGGCCGGGGUACCA